rnacentral:rRNA from 1 species
CCGGCGCACGGGUGAGUAACACGUAUGCAACCUGGCCGUCACAGGUGGAUAACCGGAAGAAAUUCCGACUAAUACAGCAUAACACUCCUGAGGGACAUCCCUUGGGAGUCAAAGGAGGCAACUCCGGUGACGGAUGGGCAUGCGGCGCAUUAGGUAGUUGGUAGGGUAACGGCCUACCAAGCCGACGAUGCGUAGGGGUUCUGAGAGGAAGGUCCCCCACAUUGGAACUGAGACACGGUCCAGACUCCUACGGGAGGCAGCAG